rnacentral:rRNA from 2 species
UGAUUAGAAGCUUGCUUCUAUGACGUUAGCGGCGGACGGGUGAGUAACACGUGGGCAACCUGCCUGUAAGACUGGGAUAACUUCGGGAAACCGAAGCUAAUACCGGAUAGGAUCUUCUCCUUCAUGGGAGAUGAUUGAAAGAUGGUUUCGGCUAUCACUUACAGAUGGGCCCGCGGUGCAUUAGCUAGUUGGUGAGGUAACGGCUCACCAAGGCAACGAUGCAUAGCCGACCUGAGAGGGUGAUCGGCCACACUGGGACUGAGACACGGCCCAGACUCCUACGGGAGGCAGCAGUAGGGAAUCUUCCGCAAUGGACGAAAGUCUGACGGAGCAACGCCGCGUGAGUGAUGAAGGCUUUCGGGUCGUAAAACUCUGUUGUUAGGGAAGAACAAGUAUGAGAGUAACUGCUCGUACCUUGACGGUACCUAACCAGAAAGCCACGGCUAACUACGUGCCAGCAGCCGCGGUAAUACGUAGGUGGCAAGCGUUAUCCGGAAUUAUUGGGCGUAAAGCGCGCGCAGGCGGUUUCUUAAGUCUGAUGUGAAAGCCCACGGCUCAACCGUGGAGGGUCAUUGGAAACUGGGGAACUUGAGUGCAGAAGAGAAAAGCGGAAUUCCACGUGUAGCGGUGAAAUGCGUAGAGAUGUGGAGGAACACCAGUGGCGAAGGCGGCUUUUUGGUCUGUAACUGACGCUGAGGCGCGAAAGCGUGGGGAGCAAACAGGAUUAGAUACCCUGGUAGUCCACGCCGUAAACGAUGAGUGCUAAGUGUUAGAGGGUUUCCGCCCUUUAGUGCUGCAGCUAACGCAUUAAGCACUCCGCCUGGGGAGUACGGUCGCAAGACUGAAACUCAAAGGAAUUGACGGGGGCCCGCACAAGCGGUGGAGCAUGUGGUUUAAUUCAAAGCAACGCGAAGAACCUUACCAGGUCUUGACAUCCUCUGACAACUCUAGAGAUAGAGCGUUCCCCUUCCGGGGACAGAAUGACAAGUG